rnacentral:rRNA from 1 species
GAUGAACGCUGGCGGCGUGCUUAAUACAUGCAAGUCGAACGGGGAGUAGCAAUACUUCUAGUGGCGAACGGGUGAGUAACGCGUGGGUGACCUGCCCCGAAGUGUGGGAUAACAGUUCGAAAGGACUGCUAAUACCGCAUGUGGUCACAGGGUUCAGAAGCCUGUGACGAAAGGAGCGAUCCGCUUUGGGAGGGACCUGCGUCCCAUCAGCUAGUUGGUAAGGUAGCGGCUUACCAAGGCGACGACGGGUAGGGGACCUGAGAGGGUGACCCCCCACACUGGCACUGAAACACGGGCCAGACACCUACGGGUGGCAGCAGUAGGGAAUAUUGCACAAUGGGCGCAAGCCUGAUGCAGCAACGCCGCGUGCGCGAUGAAGGCCUUCGGGUCGUAAAGCGCUUUUCUGGGAGACGAGGAAGGACGGUAUCCCAGGAAUAAGGCUCGGCUAACUACGUGCCAGCAGCCGCGGUAAAACGUAUGAGCCAAGCGUUAUCCGAAUUUACUGGGCGUAAAGCGCGUGCAGGCGGCUGAGUAAGUGGGCUGUAAAAUCUCCCGGCUCAACUGGGAGGCGACGGUCCAGACUGCUUGGCUCGAGGCAGGUAGAGGGAGGUGGAAUUCCGGGUGUAGUGGUGAAAUGCGUAGAUAUCCGGAGGAACACCAGUGGCGAAAGCGGCCUCCUGGACCUGACCUGACGCUGAGAUGCGAAAGCUAGGGGAGCAAACGGGAUUACAAACCCCGGUAGUCCUAGCCGUAAACGAUGUGUACUGGGCGUCGGUGUGGGAAAAAGCCAUCGGGUGCCGAAGCCAACGCGAUAAGUCCACCGCCUGGGGGACUACG